AAAGCGUAUAUUAAAGUUGUUGCAGUUAAAAAGCUCGUAGUUGAACCUUGGGCUUGGUUGGCCGGUCCAUCUUUCUGAUGCGUACUGGACCCAACCGAGCCUUUCCUUCUGGCUAGCCUUUUGGCGAACCAGGACUUUUACUUUGAAAAAAUUAGAGUGUUCAAAGCAGGCCUUUGCUCGAAUAUAUUAGCAUGGAAUAAUAGAAUAGGACGUUAUGGUUCUAUUUUGUUGGUUUCUAGGACCAUCGUAAUGAUUAAUAGGGACGGUCGGGGGUAUCAGUAUUCAGUUGUCAGAGGUGAAAUUCUUGGAUUUACUGAAGACUAACUACUGCGAAAGCAUUUACCAAGGACGUUUUCAUUAAUCAAGAACGAAAGUUAGGGGAUCGAAGAUG
rnacentral:rRNA from 1 species